rnacentral:rRNA from 1 species
UGGGGAAUAUUGCACAAUGGGCGCAAGCCUGAUGCAGCCAUGCCGCGUGUAUGAAGAAGGCCUUCGGGUUGUAAAGUACUUUCAGUCGGGAGGAAGGUGGUAAGGUUAAUAACCUUAUCAAUUGACGUUACCGACAGAAGAAGCACCGGCUAACUCCGUGCCAGCAGCCGCGGUAAUACGGAGGGUGCAAGCGUUAAUCGGAAUUACUGGGCGUAAAGUGCACGCAGGCGGUUGAUUGAGUCAGAUGUGAAAUCCCCGGGCUUAACCCGGGAAUUGCAUCUGAUACUGGUCAGCUAGAGUCUUGUAGAGGGGGGUAGAAUUCCAUGUGUAGCGGUGAAAUGCGUAGAGAUGUGGAGGAAUACCGGUGGCGAAGGCGGCCCCCUGGACAAAGACUGACGCUCAGGUGCGAAAGCGUGGGGAGCAAACAGG